rnacentral:tRNA from 1 species
GGCAUUGUGGCCUAUGGGAUAAAGCGUCGGACUUCGGAUCCAAAGGCUUCAGGUUCGAGUCCUGCCAGGGUCG